AGACACCAAUGAUAACAAUCAGCAAAAGUUCUCGGAUCCAAUCUCUGCUCCGUUGUCAUGAGCUUCCCAGUUCGAGAUCCGUAAAAUGAGCAUUAAAGUAGAAAGCUGCUUUAUCAAGAUUAGGCAAAUUUGGAAGUUUGGAACUUGGUAGAGAGAGAGAGUGAGAGACUGUUGUCACUUACAGAGUUUUGAUCUUGGAAUGUCUAGUCCACCAUAUGUAUGUGUUGAAUACGAGGUAGUCUGCGUCUUUCCAGUUCUCACCGUGUUUCGAGAUUGAUUGUGGUAUGAUUACUGGUUCUGUCUUCCCGUCUCGCUUGUCUGGAGGAUCAGCAUUUGAUUCGACUAGGAAAGGUGCCCAGUAAAAUGCUAUGGUUGUAUUGUACUCCUCCUACACAUUCAUUCAAAUUACUAGAGAAGAAAGGUGGAAACUGACCUUGGCAAAGAGCAAUCUCGAGGUUGCCAUCUCCAUUUCUGGUACUUAGAGUCUGGCCUCCCGUUUCUCGUACAUGCCACCCAUUCUGAGAGAAACUCACAUUCAUCUUCUUUGUAUAAAGGAUGUGUAACGUUAUCAAGAACCCAUUUACCUGUGAAAACAUCACAGAUGU